rnacentral:rRNA from 1 species
UUGGGAAUAUUGGACAAUGGAGGAAACUCUGAUCCAGUGACGCCGCGUGAAGGAAGAAGGUCUUCGGAUUGUAAACUUAUUUUGUCAGGGAAGAAACAAAUGACUGUACCUGAAGAAAAAGCACCGGCUAACUACGUGCCAGCAGCCGCGGUAAUACGUAGGGUGCAAGCGUUAUCCGGAUUUACUGGGUGUAAAGGGCGAGUAGACGGCGUUGCAAGUCAGAUGUGAAAACCCAGGGCUUAACCUUAGGACCGCAUCUGAAACUGUAAUGCUAGAGUGCAGGAGAGGUAAGCGGAAUUCCUAGUGUAGCGGUGAAAUGCGUAGAUAUUAGGAAGAACACCAGUGGCGAAGGCGGCUUACUGGACUGUAACUGACGUUGAGGCGCGAAAGCGUGGGGAGCAAACAGGAUUAGAUACCC